rnacentral:rRNA from 1 species
AUAAGCACCGGCUAACUCCGUGCCAGCAGCCGCGGUAAUACGGAGGGUGCAAGCGUUACUCGGAAUCACUGGGCGUAAAGGACGCGUAGGCGGAUUAUCAAGUCUCUUGUGAAAUCUAACGGCUCAACCGUUAAACUGCUUGGGAAACUGAUAAUCUAGAGUAAGGGAGAGGCAGAUGGAAUUCUUGGUGUAGGGGUAAAAUCCGUAGAUAUCAAGAAGAAUACCUAUUGCGAAGGCGAUCUGCUGGAACUUAACUGACGCUAAUGCGUGAAAGCGUGGGGAGCAAACAGGAUUAGAUACCCUGGUAGUCCACGCCCUAAACGAUGUAUACCGGUUGUUGCUGUGCUAGUCACGGCAGUAAUCCACCUAACGGAUUAAGUAUACCGCCUGGGGAGUACGGUCGCAAGAUUAAAACUCAAAGGAAUAGACGGGGACCCGCACAAGCGGUGGAGCAUGUGGUUUAAUUCGAAGAUACGCGAAGAACCUUACCCGGACUUGAUAUCUAACAAAUCAUCCAGAGAUGGAAGAGUGUCUGCUUGCAGAAAUGUUAAGACAGGUGCUGCAGUCGUCAGCUCGUGUCGUGAGAUGUUGGGUUAAGUCCCGCAACGAGCGCAACCCACGUCAUUAGUUGCUAACGGUUCGGCCGAGCACUCUAAUGAGACUGCCUUCGUAAGGAGGAGGAAGGUGUGGACGACGUCAAGUCAUCAUGGCCCUUAUGUCCGGGGCGACACACGUGCUACAAUGGCAUAUACAAUAAGACGCAAUAUCGUAAGAUGGAGCAAAUCUAAAAAAUAUGUCCCAGUUCGGAUUGGAGUCUGCAACUCGACUCCAUGAAGCCGGAAUCGCUAGUAAUCGUAGAUCAGCCAUGCUACGGUGAAUACGUUCCCGGGUCUUGUACUCACCGCCCGUCACACCAUGGGAGUUGAUUUCACUCGAAGCGGGAAUGCGAAAUUCGCUACCCUCCACAGUGGAAUCAGCGACUGGGGUGAAGUCGUAACAAGGUAACCGUAGGAGAACCUGCGGUUG